rnacentral:rRNA from 1 species
GACGAACGCUGGCGGCGUGCUUAACACAUGCAAGUCGAACGGAAAGGCCCUGCUUUUGUGGGGUGCUCGAGUGGCGAACGGGUGAGUAACACGUGAGUAACCUGCCCUUGACUUUGGGAUAACUUCAGGAAACUGGGGCUAAUACCGGAUAGGAGCUCCUGCUGCAUGGUGGGGGUUGGAAAGUUUCGGCGGUUGGGGAUGGACUCGCGGCUUAUCAGCUUGUUGGUGGGGUAGUGGCUUACCAAGGCUUUGACGGGUAGCCGGCCUGAGAGGGUGACCGGCCACAUUGGGACUGGGAUACGACCCAGACUCCUACGGGAGGCAGCAGUGGGGAAUAUUGCACAAUGGGAGGAAGCCUGAUGCAGCAACGCCGCGUGCGGGAUGACGGCCUUCGGGUUGUAAACCGCUUUCGCCUGUGACGAAGCGUGAGUGACGGUAAUGGGUAAAGAAGCACCGGCUAACUACGUG